GGGGGUUUCACUAUGUUGGCCAGGCUGGUCUCGAACUCCUGACCUCGUGUCCCACCCGCCUCUGCCUCCCAAAGUGAUGGGAUUACAGGCAUGAGCCACCGCACCUAGCCUCAUCUUUAAAAAAAAAAAAAAAAAAAAAAAAAAUCUAUUCCUUUUGUGAAAGUUGUCAAAAUCAGAAUGGAGUCACAAAUGUUGAAAAAAUCCUGACACAUACAGCCAGAAAAGGCCAUGAAAAAGAGGGUUGUCAUGCUUGUAUCCUUCCUUCAUAACAAAAACUAUCAGAAAAGACUCUACAGAAACCUCAACCUUCCACAAAGGCCAUCACAACCUCACACACAAAAAGUACGUAUACAAGGACAUCUGCCCAACAACUGCCUGUCCAACCUCUGACUGGCAUCAUCCUUGCUACUGAUCUUUGUAACACAACAAUUAUGUAAUCCUCUUUGUUUUUUUCCCCCUUAAAAUCCUUUGUCUUCCUUUAUCUCUCUGAAUGUGCACAUAAUUUACGAUGGCAUAUGUAUUCCCAUUACAAUGUUCUUUUCCGAAUAAAUAUCUUUCUUUCAGAGAGCCACUCUCUAUUUGUUAUUUAUGUUGAUACCUUCCAAUAACUGUAUAUCUUAUUUCUGUUUCAUGCAUUAGUGCUUUGGUUAGAACUUUCAGAAGUUAACUAAUAGUAGUACAGGGGUGGGACUAGGGAGUCUUUGCAUUAAUACAGAUGAAGUCAGUUGUUAUUUUAUGACAGACAGUCUUUGCAAUGUUAAGGAAGUAUUGUUUUAUUUUUAACUCUACAAGAGUUGUUAUGGGGGAGCCUAGGAAUAUUUCUGAAAUGAGGUCUGAGACUUCUCUGACAUAUCACCAUUUAAUUGCUGUUUUCCUUGUUGAGAACAGGUUGCAAAUACUAAACCUGGUUUCCUCUUCCCUGAGCUAUGGUUUCACAGCUUCAUUUCAUGUGGAUCUUACUCUAAUGUCAUCUUGCCAGAGAAGUCUUCCAUGGCUAUCAUAUCUUAAGUAGCAUGACUCAGUUCCUCUGUUUGCUUUGGACUUGCUCAGUCCAAAUACCUGACCUCAUCUGGCAACUCCCAGAUGAUCCUCAGUCCAAGAGUGGAGUAAUAAUUUGGACAGCAGCAGAACCAAGAAUGAUGACCAAGCCUUCUAAUGCUUAUUUGGUGCUAUCAUAAUGAUUAUCCAUUUCUCUUUUAAUACAAAAGCAAGUAUUCAUGUAAAAUAAAAUGUAUUUGGAGGUAAUCA